rnacentral:misc_RNA from 1 species
GGUGAAGAACGUAGUGAAAUGCGAUAAGUAAUGUGAAUUGCAGAAUUCAGUGAAUCAUCGAAUCUUUGAACGCACAUUGCGCCCGCCAGUAUUCUGGCGGGCAUGCCUGUUCGAGCGUCAUUACAACCCUCAGGCCCCCGGGCCUGGCGUUGGGGAUCGGCGGAGCCCCCCGUGGGCACACGCCGUCCCCCAAAUACAGUGGCGGUCCCGCCGCAGCUUCCAUCGCGUAGUAGCUAACACCUCGCGACUGGAGAGCGGCGCGGCCACGCCGUAAAACACCCAACUCUUCUGAAGUUGACCUCGAAUCAGGUAGGAAUACCCGCUGAACUUAAGCAUAUCAAUAAGCGGAGGA